GUGCAGCAGGCGCGAAACUUUACAAUGUGCGAAAGCACGAUAAGGGAACUCUGAGUGCCUCCUAAGGAGGCUGUUCAGGUGUCUAAAAGCACCUGAAGGAAGGGCUGGGUAAGACCGGUGCCAGCCGCCGCGGUAACACCGGCAGCCCAAGUGGUAGCCACGUUUAUUGGGUCUAAAGCGUCCGUAGCCGGCUGGGUAAGUUCCUUGGGAAAUUUGGCUGCUUAACAGUCAAGCUUUCAGGGAAUACUGCCCGGCUUGGGACCGGGAGAGGUCAGAGGUACUCCAGGGGUAGGGGUGAAAUCCAUUAAUCCUUGGGGGACCACCGGUAGCGAAGGCGUCUGACCAGACCGGGUCCGACGGUGAGGGACGAAGGCUAGGGGCGCGAACCGGAUUAGAUACCCCUGUAGU
rnacentral:rRNA from 1 species